ACCAUACGCUCGACCGCUCUUCAUCAGACUGCAGGUGUGUGUGUGUGUGUGUGUGUGUGUGAGCUGCCACCAUACGCUCGACCGCUCUUCAUCAGACUGCAGGUGUGUGUGUGUGUGUGUGUGAGCUGCCACCAUACGCUCGACCGCUCUUCAUCAGACUGCAGGUGUGUGUGUGUGUGUGUGUGUGUGUGUGUGUGUGAGCUGCCACCAUACGCUCGACCGCUCUUCAUCAGACUGCAGGUGUGUGUGUGUGUGUGUGUGUGUGUGUGUGUGAGCUGCCACCAUACGCUCGACCGCUCUUCAUCAGACUGCAGGUGUGUGUGUGUGUGUGUGUGAGCUGCCACCAUACGCUCGACCGCUCUUCAUCAGACUGCAGGUGUGUGUGUGUGUGUGAGCUGCCACCAUACGCUCGACCGCUCUUCAUCAGACUGCAGGUGUGUGUGUGUGUGUGUGUGUGUGUGUGAGCUGCCACCAUACGCUCGACCGCUCUUCAUCAGACUGCAGGUGUGUGUGUGUGUGUGUGUGUGUGAGCUGCCACCAUACGCUCGACCGCUCUUCAUCAGACUGCAGGUGUGUGUGUGUGUGUGAGCUGCCACCAUACGCUCGACCGCUCUUCAUCAGACUGCAGGUGUGUGUGUGUGUGUGUGUGUGUGUGUGAGCUGCCACCAUACGCUCGACCGCUCUUCAUCA